rnacentral:rRNA from 1 species
AUUCCAGCUCCAAUAGCGUAUACUAAAGUUGUUGCAGUUAAAAAGCUCGUAGUUGAAUUUCUGGUCGUGGCGAUCGGUCCGCCCCUCACGGGGUGUGCACCUGGUCUCUACGUCCAUCCUCGGGGAGAGCGCGUCUGGCAUUCAGUUGUCGGGUGCGGGAUCCUCGUCAUUUACUGUGAGCAAAAUAGAGUGUUCAAAGCAGGCUUAGGCCGUUGAAUACAUUAGCAUGGAAUAAUAAGAUAGGACCUUGGUCUAUUUUGUUGGUUUGCAUUCCAAGGUAAUGAUUAAUAGGGAUAGUUGGGGGUAUUCGUAUUCAAUUGUCAGAGGUGAAAUUCUUGGAUUUAUGGAAGACGAACUACUGCGAAAGCAUUUACCAAGGAUGUUUUCAUUG